rnacentral:misc_RNA from 1 species
AAGUCGUAACAAGGUCUCCGUUGGUGAACCAGCGGAGGGAUCAUUAGAGAAUUUGGCUCGGUUAUAUUAUUUUUCUGUUUUGUAUAAAACUUUCAGCAACGGAUCUCUUGGCUCAG